rnacentral:ncRNA from 1 species
CUGGCCCCGGUUCACGCAUCGGCAACCCCGCCUGUGCGACCCGGCGCC